rnacentral:tRNA from 1 species
UUAAUAGUAUUUUUACUAGUAAUAAAUUUUAUGGGGUUAGUUCCCUUCGUCUAUGGUCC